GUUAAGCGACUAAGCGUACACGGUGGAUGCCCUGGCAGUCAGAGGCGAUGAAGGACGUGCUAAUCUGCGAUAAGCGUCGGUAAGGUGAUAUGAACCGUUAUAACCGGCGAUUUCCGAAUGGGGAAACCCAGUGUGUUUCGACACACUAUCAUUAACUGAAUCCAUAGGUUAAUGAGGCGAACCGGGGGAACUGAAACAUCUAAGUACCCCGAGGAAAAGAAAUCAACCGAGAUUCCCCCAGUAGCGGCGAGCGAACGGGGAGCAGCCCAGAGCCUGAAUCAGUGUGUGUGUUAGUGGAAGCGUCUGGAAAGGCGCGCGAUACAGGGUGACAGCCCCGUACACAAAAAUGCACAUGCUGUGAGCUCGAUGAGUAGGGCGGGACACGUGGUAUCCUGUCUGAAUAUGGGGGGACCAUCCUCCAAGGCUAAAUACUCCUGACUGACCGAUAGUGAACCAGUACCGUGAGGGAAAGGCGAAAAGAACCCCGGCGAGGGGAGUGAAAAAGAACCUGAAACCGUGUACGUACAAGCAGUGGGAGCCUCUUUAUGGGGUGACUGCGUACCUUUUGUAUAAUGGGUCAGCGACUUAUAUUCUGUAGCAAGGUUAACCGAAUAGGGGAGCCGAAGGGAAACCGAGUCUUAACUGGGCGUUAAGUUGCAGGGUAUAGACCCGAAACCCGGUGAUCUAGCCAUGGGCAGGUUGAAGGUUGGGUAACACUAACUGGAGGACCGAACCGACUAAUGUUGAAAAAUUAGCGGAUGACUUGUGGCUGGGGGUGAAAGGCCAAUCAAACCGGGAGAUAGCUGGUUCUCCCCGAAAGCUAUUUAGGUAGCGCCUCGUGAAUUCAUCUCCGGGGGUAGAGCACUGUUUCGGCAAGGGGGUCAUCCCGACUUACCAACCCGAUGCAAACUGCGAAUACCGGAGAAUGUUAUCACGGGAGACACACGGCGGGUGCUAACGUCCGUCGUGAAGAGGGAAACAACCCAGACCGCCAGCUAAGGUCCCAAAGUCAUGGUUAAGUGGGAAACGAUGUGGGAAGGCCCAGACAGCCAGGAUGUUGGCUUAGAAGCAGCCAUCAUUUAAAGAAAGCGUAAUAGCUCACUGGUCGAGUCGGCCUGCGCGGAAGAUGUAACGGGGCUAAACCAUGCACCGAAGCUGCGGCAGCGACGCUUAUGCGUUGUUGGGUAGGGGAGCGUUCUGUAAGC
rnacentral:rRNA from 1 species